UACGUAGGGUGCUAGCGUUAAUCGGAAUUACUGGGCGUAAAGGGUGCGCAGGCGGUUCUGUAAGUCAGAUGUGAAAUCCCCGGGCUUAACCUGGGAACUGCGUUUGAAACUACAGAGCUAGUGUGUGGCAGAGGGAGGUGGAAUUCCAUGUGUAGCAGUGAAAUGCGUAGAGAUAUGGAAGAACAUCGAUGGCGAAGGCAAUCUCCUGGGCUAACACUGACGCUCAUGGACGAAAGCGUGGGGAGCAAACAGGAUUAGAUACCCUGGUAGUCCACGCCCUAAACUAUGUCAACUAGUUGUUGGGCCUUAAUAGGCUUGGUAACGUAGCUAACGCGUGCAGUUGACCGCCUGGGGAGUACGGUCGCAAGAUUAAAACUCAAAUGAAUUGACGG
rnacentral:rRNA from 1 species